UACGGAGGGUGCAAGCGUUAUCCGGAUUUAUUGGGUUUAAAGGGUGCGCAGGCGGUGCCUUAAGUCAGUGGUGAAAUCCCUUCGCUUAACGAAGGAACUGCCAUUGAUACUGAGGUUCUUGAAUCUAGUUGACGUUAGUGGAAUGUGUCAUGUAGCGGUGGAAUGCUUAGAUAUGACACAGAACACCGAUCGCGAAGGCAGCUAACGAAGCUAGUAUUGACGCUCAGGCACGACAGCAUGGGGAGCAAACAGG
rnacentral:rRNA from 1 species